AGUGAACGCUGGCGGCGUGCCUAAUACAUGCAAGUCGAACGAUGAAGCUCUAGCUUGCUAGAGUGGAUUAGUGGCGCACGGGUGAGUAAUGCAUAGGUUAUGUGCCCUUUAGUCUAGGAUAGCCAUUGGAAACGAUGAUUAAUACUGGAUACUCCCUACGGGGGAAAGUUUUUCGCUAAAGGAUCAGCCUAUGUCCUAUCAGCUUGUUGGUGAGGUAAUGGCUCACCAAGGCUAUGACGGGUAUCCGGCCUGAGAGGGUGAACGGACACACUGGAACUGAGACACGGUCCAGACUCCUACGGGAGGCAGCAGUAGGGAAUAUUGCUCAAUGGGGGAAACCCUGAAGCAGCAACGCCGCGUGGAGGAUGAAGGUUUUCGGAUUGUAAACUCCUUUUCUAAGAGAAGAUUAUGACGGUAUCUUAGGAAUAAGCACCGGCUAACUCCGUGCCAGCAGCCGCAGUAA
rnacentral:rRNA from 1 species